ACACGGCCCAGACUCCUACGGGAGGCAGCAGUAGGGAAUCUUCGGCAAUGGGGGCAACCCUGACCGAGCAACGCCGCGUGAGUGAAGAAGGUUUUCGGAUCGUAAAGCUCUGUUGUAAGAGAAGAACGAGUGUGAGAGUGGAAAGUUCACACUGUGACGGUAACUUACCAGAAAGGGACGGCUAACUACGUGCCAGCAGCCGCGGUAAUACGUAGGUCCCGAGCGUUAUCCGGAUUUAUUGGGCGUAAAGCGAGCGCAGGCGGUUAGAUAAGUCUGAAGUUAAAGGCUGUGGCUUAACCAUAGUACGCUUUGGAAACUGUUUAACUUGAGUGCAGAAGGGGAGAGUGGAAUUCCAUGUGUAGCGGUGAAAUGCGUAGAUAUAUGGAGGAACACCGGUGGCGAAAGCGGCUCUCUGGUCUGUAACUGACGCUGAGGCUCGAAAGCGUGGGGAGCAAACAGGAUUAGAUAC
rnacentral:rRNA from 1 species